GGUCAAUAAGCAAUUCUCUCGCUGCAAAAAAUAGUCUUAGAAACCUGAUGAAACAAUUAAAAAACAACAACACGUUUUGUCAAAAUGAAAAUAGAAUUAAAUAAGGCUUUAAAAGGUGUUAAUGAAAACCAGUGAAUAAAAACAUUCAUUUCUUUAAAUUAAAAAAAGUGAGGAAGCCUUCUGCUAUAUCCUUCCGCACUAUUUGGAAGAAAAAAGGCUCUUGAUUCUUUUUCGAAGGUGACUUCCAAACAGAACAGAAUGUCAGCAUUACAAGGCGUAUAUAGAGGCAUUUUUCGCCGAACAUCAACUUUUGCUUUAGUGUUUUGCACUGGUGGAUUAGUUUAUGCAAUGUAUUUGGACAAGGCUCUUGACAGCGUGUUUAGAAACAUGAAUAAAGGGAAAAUGUAUGAAGAUGUCCAAGCUUAUUACAGUCAAAAGACAGAAGAAUGAUUUAUAAAUAGAAACACAAAAAUGACUGCUGUGCUGAGCAUCAACUUAUAAAUGGUGUACCAAUAUGAAGAACUUGAUCAGAAAUAAACUCAGAAAGAUCUGUGCUAAUUUUGACAGUCAAUUCCGUUGUAUUUUGGUGUUAAGCAUAACAGUCUUUCAUAAAAUCUGAAUCAUCAUUAUAAUUUAUGAAGUCACAUUGUUUUAUUUGGUAAUAUAAUUUAUAAAAGAAAUAUUGAUUGA